UCCAGUUGCUUUCUAAGGACAUCUGUGUGC
rnacentral:piRNA from 1 species